AGUCAACAUGCCCAGGGGACGUGGAUAACCUCGGGAAACUGAGGAUAAACCGCGAUAGGUCAUCACUUCUGGAAUGGGUAAUGACUUAAAUCUAUAUGGCCCCUGGAUUGGACUGCGGCCGAUCAGGCUGUUGGUGAGGUAAUGGCCCACCAAACCUGUAACCGGUACGGGCUCUGAGAGGAGGAGCCCGGAGAUGGGCACUGAGACAAGGGCCCAGGCCCUAUGGGGCGCAGCAGGCGCGAAACCUCUGCAAUAGGCGAAAGCUUGACAGGGUUACUCUGAGUGAUUUCCGUUAAGGAGAUCUUUUGGCACCUCUAAAAAUGGUGCAGAAUAAGGGGUGGGCAAGUCUGGUGUCAGCCGCCGCGGUAAUACCAGCACCCCGAGUGGUCGGGACGUUUAUUGGGCCUAAAGCAUCCGUAGCCGGUCCCACGAGUCUUCCGUUAAAUCCACCUGCUUAACAGAUGGGCUGCGGAAGAUACUAUAGAGCUAGGAGGCGGGAGAGGCAAGCGGUACUCGAUGGGUAGGGGUAAAAUCCGUUGAUCCAUUGAAGACCACCAGUGGCGAAGGCGGCUUGCCAGAACGCGCUCGACGGUGAGGGAUGAAAGCUGGGGGAGCAAACCGGAUUAGAUACCCGGGUAGUCCCAGCUGUAAAUGAUGCAGACUCGGUGAUGAGUUGGCUUAUUGCUAACUCAGUGCCGCAGGGAAGCCGUUAAGUUUGCCGCCUGGGGAGUACGGUCGCAAGACUGAAACUUAA
rnacentral:rRNA from 1 species